CUGAGUGCAAAUGUUUGUUUUAGGUAGCAAGGCAGGCAAGCAUGGGGACAGUUUGGCUGAAUAAUUAACUUUUAUCUGAUUGUCCUUUGGAUCCUUCCUUGUUUUCCUCAUAAGGCCCAUCUCUGCUCCAGUUGGCAAAACAUCAUCAAGAUGUUCUGGCUCCUGGGAGUUAGCAUAUCCCCCCUCACCCCCACUUGAGCAGACAUCGACCUGUUGGGUGUCACAAGGAAUUCCACAAGGAAUGCCUGCCAGAUAGAGAAAAAAAGCUGAAGCUUGUUCCUACAAACCUGUCCCCAAGAGCCCUCCAAUUUUCACCUCUCUUCAUGACUGCAAGCCUAUAUCCAGAGUCCUAGCAUCACUGCUCACACUGUCUACCUCUUCAUCCAUAUUCAUUGUCAAGUCUACAGUUAAGAAACUCGAACAAGUUAUUGCAUUUAGAUGUAGUAGUCUGUACAAUCUGUUAGGUAUUUGUAAAAAUGCUUACCGCAUUAUAACCCAUGAAUUAGUCAGUGAAAUAAAAUACAUAUAAAUGUAUGUCUG
ensembl:lncRNA